UACGUAGGGUGCAAGCGUUGUCCGGAAUUAUUGGGCGUAAAGAGCUCGUAGGCGGUCUGUCGCGUCUGCUGUGAAAACUCAGGGCUUAACCCUGAGCUUGCAGUGGGUACGGGCAGACUAGAGUGCGGUAGGGGAGACUGGAAUUCCUGGUGUAGCGGUGAAAUGCGCAGAUAUCAGGAGGAACACCGGUGGCGAAGGCGGGUCUCUGGGCCGUAACUGACGCUGAGGAGCGAAAGCAUGGGGAGCGAACAGG
rnacentral:rRNA from 3 species